rnacentral:rRNA from 1 species
UACGUAGGUGGCAAGCGUUGUCCGGAAUUAUUGGGCGUAAAGCGCGCGCAGGCGGUCCUUUAAGUCUGAUGUGAAAGCCCACGGCUCAACCGUGGAGGGUCAUUGGAAACUGGGGGACUGAGUACAGAAGAGAAGAGUGGAAUUCCACGUGUAGCGGUGAAAUGCGUAGAGAUGUGGAGGAACACCAGUGGCGAGGCGACUCUUUGGUCUGUAACUGACGCUGAGGCGCGAAAGCGUGGGGAGCAAACAGG